UACGUAGGGUGCAAGCGUUAAUCGGAAUUACUGGGCGUAAAGCGUGCGCAGGCGGCUUUGCAAGACAGAUGUGAAAUCCCCGGGCUUAACCUGGGAACUGCAUUUGUGACUGCAUGGCUAGAGUGCGGCAGAGGGGGAUGGAAUUCCGCGUGUAGCAGUGAAAUGCGUAGAUAUGCGGAGGAACACCGGUGGCGAAGGCGGUUCUCUGGGCCUGUACUGACGCUGAGGAACGAAAGCGUGGGGAGCGAACAGG
rnacentral:rRNA from 1 species